rnacentral:rRNA from 1 species
GACGAACGCUGGCGGCGUGCUUAACACAUGCAAGUCGAACGGUAAGGCCCUUCGGGGUACACGAGUGGCGAACGGGUGAGUAACACGUGGGUGAUCUGCCCUGCACUUCGGGAUAAGCCUGGGAAACUGGGUCUAAUACCGGAUAGGACCACUGCCUGCAUGGGUGGUGGUGGAAAGCUUUUGCGGUGUGGGAUGGGCCCGCGGCCUAUCAGCUUGUUGGUGGGGUGAUGGCCUACCAAGGCGACGACGGGUAGCCGGCCUGAGAGGGUGACCGGCCACACUGGGAAUGAAAUACGGCCCAGACUCCUACGGGAGGCAGCAGUGUGGAAUAUUGCACAAUGGGCGCAGGCCUGCUGCAGCGACGCCGCGUGAGGGAUGACGGCCUUCGGGUUGUAAACCUCUUUCAGCACCGACGAAGCGCAAGUGACGGUAGGUGCAGAAGAAGGACCGGCCAACUACGUGCCAGCCGCCGCCGUAA